AACGCGGGCGGCGAGACGGCGGCAGGACGGCGGCAGGAUGUGUGACCGGAAUGGUGGUCGGCGGCUUCGACAGUGGCUGAUCGAGCAGAUUGACAGUAGCAUGUAUCCAGGACUGAUCUGGGAGAAUGACGAGAAGAGCAUGUUCCGGAUCCCUUGGAAACACGCUGGCAAGCAAGAUUAUAAUCAGGAAGUGGAUGCCUCCAUUUUUAAGGUAAAGACCCCAGCUCCCUUCCCCACUGUGGGCACAGUGUCUCCUUUCCCUCAUGGACUAGUGGAGAUGUUGAGUGACAUCUUUCUCAUUUACUUAAAAAUUAAUCCAGUUUUUUAAAAGCAAACAUUGGUUCAGGAGUGCUGAAUGUGUCUCAAACAUGUACACGAGCUGAUUUCACAUCUCUUGAAUUACGGAGUCACUUUUGUGGUCGCUUGUAUUCUGAUGAGGAGAUCGAAGGCUCUUUUCUUCUCUUUUCUGCUGCUUCGUUUUCCUGAUGAGCCAAGUGGGAGAAAAUACUUCCAGACCUUCACGCUAAGACCUUUCCCCACGGGCUUCCAUUAG
rnacentral:sRNA from 1 species